rnacentral:rRNA from 1 species
AGCGAACGUUAGCGGCGGGCCUAACACAUGCAAGUCGAACGCGAAAGGUCUUCGGACUGAGUAGAGUGGCGCACGGGUGAGUAACACGUAGGUAAUCUACCCUUUGGCGGGGGAUAACGUUCCGAAAGGAGCGCUAAUACCGCAUAAGACCACGGAGUCUCCGGACGCUGUGGGAAAAGGUGGCCUCUUCUUGAAAGCUACCACCGAAGGAUGAGCCUGCGUCCCAUCAGCUAGUUGGUAAGGUAAUGGCUUACCAAGGCGAAGACGGGUAGCUGGUUUGAGAGAAUGAUCAGCCACACUGGCACUGGAACACGGGCCAGACUCCUACGGGAGGCAGCAGUGAGGAAUAUUGGGCAGUGGGCGAAAGCCUGACCCAGCCACGCCGCGUGAGUGAUGAAGGCCCUCGGGUCGUAAAAGCUCUGU